rnacentral:rRNA from 1 species
AGCAGCCGCGGUAAUUCCAGCUCCAAUAGCGUAUAUUAAAGUUGUUGCAGUUAAAAAGCUCGUAGUUGAAUUUCGGGAUCAAUUUAUCGGUCGUGCCAAUGGUAUGAACUGGUACAAUUGGUUUCUCCCUUCUGACGAAGCAUGAUGUCAUUAAUUUGGUGUCGUGGGGAAUCAGGACUGUUACUUUGAAAAAAUUAGAGUGUUUAAAGCAAGCAUUAGCUUGAAUACAUUAGCAUGGAAUAAUGAAAUAGGACGUUUGAUCCUAUUUCGUUGGUUUCUAGGAUCGACGUAAUGAUUAAUAGGGAUAGUUGGGGGCAUUAGUAUUCAAUUGCCAGAGGUGAAAUUCUUGGAUUUAUUGAAGACUAACUACUGCGAAAGCAUUUGCCAAGGAUGUUUUCAUUAAUCAAGAACGAAAGUUAGGGGAUCGAAGACGAUCAGAUACCGUCGUAGUCUUAACCAUAAACUAUGCCGACUAGGGAUCGGAUGAUGUUAAUUUUUUAAUGACUCA